rnacentral:rRNA from 1 species
CCUACGGGAGGCAGCAGUGAGGAAUAUUGGUCAAUGGGCGCGAGCCUGAACCAGCCAUGUAGCGUGAAGGAUGACUGCCCUACGGGUUGUAAACUUCUUUUAUAAAGGAAUAAAGUGAGGUACGUGUGCCUUUUUGUAUGUACUUUAUGAAUAAGGAUCGGCUAACUCCGUGCCAGCAGCCGCGGUAAUACGGAGGAUCCGAGCGUUAUCCGGAUUUAUUGGGUUUAAAGGGAGCGUAGAUGGGUUGUUAAGUCAGAUGUGAAAGCUUGAGGCUCAACCGUAAAAUUGCAAUUGAUACUGGCAGCCUUGAGUGCAGUUGAGGUAGGCGGAAUUCGUGGUGUAGCGGUGAAAUGCUUAGAUAUCAGGAAGAACUCCGAUUGCGAAGGCAGUUCACUGGACUGCAACUGACACUGAGGCUCGAAAGUGUGGGUAGCAAACAGGAUUAGAUACCCGUGUAGUC